rnacentral:rRNA from 1 species
CAGCCGCCGCGGUAAUACGAAGGGUGCAAGCGUUAAUCGGAAUUACUGGGCGUAAAGCGCGCGUAGGUGGUUUGGUAAGAUGGAUGUGAAAUCCCCGGGCUCAACCUGGGAACUGCAUCCAUAACUGCCUGACUAGAGUACGGUAGAGGGUGGUGGAAUUUCCUGUGUAGCGGUGAAAUGCGUAGAUAUAGGAAGGAACACCAGUGGCGAAGGCGACCACCUGGACUGAUACUGACACUGAGGUGCGAAAGCGUGGGGAGCAAACAGGAUUAGAUACCCCGGUAGUCCCUGUCUCUUAUAC